AUUGAACGCUGGCGGCAUGCCUUACACAUGCAAGUCGAACGGUAACGGGCCUUCGGGUGCCGACGAGUGGCGAACGGGUGAGUAAUGUAUCGGAACGUACCUUUCAGUGGGGGAUAACGUAGCGAAAGUUACGCUAAUACCGCAUAUUCUGUAAGCAGGAAAGCAGGGGAUCGCAAGACCUUGCGCUGAUUGAGCGGCCGAUAUCAGAUUAGCUAGUUGGUGAGGUAAAGGCUCACCAAGGCGACGAUCUGUAGCGGGUCUGAGAGGAUGAUCGGCCACACUGGAACUGAGAGAAGGUCCAGACUCCUACGGGAGGCAGCGUUGGGGAAUUUUGGACAAUGGGGGCAACCCUGAUCCGGCCAUGCCGCGUGAGUGAAGAAGGCCUUCGGGUUGUAAAGCUCUUUCGGCCGGGAAGGAAUCGUAUGGGUUAAUACCCUGUGCGGAUGACGGUACCGGCAUAAGAAGCACCGGCUAACUACGUGCCAGCCGCCGCCGUAACAC
rnacentral:rRNA from 1 species